GUGUCUCUGAGAGGAAGAAGCUCUGCUGCAUGUUAUCGUGGCUGACUGUCAUGGUGUAAACGUCACGGAUCCCAGAGAAGCCAGACUCUACUCUGCAGUGCUGCUCCAGGGCCUGACACAAGACAGAGAGGGCAGGUCCCGUUUUCCCAGCAUCAGUCUGUUACUGUGAAGAUGGCAGAGAUCCAGAGGAGCAGCAGGAGUCUUCAUGGUAUCAGUAUUUAAGACACAGCUAAAUAGCAGCCACACACAUGCAAGAGCAAAUCUCACACUCUCUCUUUCCUGCAGACAGCUAAUCCAAGAGUUGCUAAGCACCAUACAUUCCCUUUAAUGAGUGAAGAGAAACCUGGUGGAUGACUAUGAAAGAGAAAGUCAGAGAAGCCUUUUGGGCCUGCAGCUCAAAAGUACUCCAAGCGUAUCAAGGAACCUGUUAUGUAAUGAGUCACAUUAGCUUACUGGAGAGGCUAAGGCGAAUGAACACUUGAGGAUGAAUCUGAAAAGCCCACCCAACAGUGGAGGGGGCAAAAAAAGCUUGAAAUUAGCAGAGGAGCUUAUUGUCAGGGCCAAGACAGAUGCCAGGGAGAGAAGAGAUCAAAUAAGGGUCUUUCCAAAAAUGUGGGAAGGCUUGUUGCUGGCAACUAUUCCUCUCUUUUUUCAUCCUCUCCUCCUUUCUUGCAUUUUUCUCCUGGGUACAUCUUCAGUCUGUUAGUGAAACCACAGCAGAACUCUUCUACUCUCCCUGAUUUAUAGGUUGGAGCCACAGUAAAUUUGCAUGUGGACUCAGAUUUUAUCACAAUGUUUGCUCUUGAAUACUUUACCACCAUUUCCUUUCCUUGUCCCUUUUCUUUCCAUUCUUUCUCCUGAAUUAAAACAAAGUGUGAUUAUCAGUACUGAACACACAGGCAGCUCCCAUGUCUGCUGCCUACCGCUGUGAGAAUAAGUUUAAUCCCUCCCUGCUCCUUAUUAGGCCUGUUAUGUCUCUGUUGAGGUGAAGCCAUCAAGAACGAUUUUUCUUUUGAGUCAGGGCAAAAUUAAAACGCCUGAGGCUCUUUUAAAAUGGAAUAUCGGUCUGCUAGACUCUUAAUGCCACCAUAACCUUUCUUUACAAGACAGAUAUAGUGUACCACAACAAUGAUGAACCAUAAAAUUUUACUGCUGUUUUAGAAGAGUCAGCAUGUGCUAUGUUGAAAAAUACAGAAUUAUAUGGAUCUAAAGAGUAUGAACACCAAGUAGAAAUUACUUCAGAUUUUGGAUGACAGCAAGCAAGACUAUUUUUUAUAAACGAUCAACGGUAAUAUGUCAUCAUCUCAUUAAAAAAUCAUUUACUACUCAACCAGAUCCUCUCUAGUUAGAGUUUAGCAACCUGACCUGAACAGGUUGGGUUCAGGCAUUUUCUUGUACAAAGCUUCAGGUCGGAUUAUUUUCAAAUGUAAUUUAAUAAGAAAAUUCUCUUUCUGACUUUGCCAAUCGCCUGCAACGACACGUAUCAUGUGUUGCAAGUAGAUAGGCAAUGCCCACUGGGAGGCGGGAAGAGAGACAGCGUAGCCAAUGCAAUGCAUUAGCCUGGCAAGCUAGCGGUCAGUAAUGGAUGAAAUAAAAAACUUGCAAAAGGCUUCUUAAAAUCCCUAUUGAUUUGGGGAGAGCCAUUGCAUUGUGGAAACUUCCUUAUUAUAACUGCCUGGACUGUUGUCAAGUUCAGCUAGGUUUUGCUAUAGUGUUACAUGCUAGUAAUUGACUACAAUGUGUGUAUUGCCACUAAACUUAUGGCUUAUCGCCUAGUGGAAAUUUGUGUUGGUCUAUUGUCAGAUUAGUUAUUUUCUAUUAGUGAGAAAGCCUUUCCAAAGCAAGUA